rnacentral:rRNA from 1 species
AGUGAACGCUGGCGGUAGGCCUAACACAUGCCAGUCGAACGGCAGCACAGUAAGAGCUUGCUCUUACGGGUGGCGAGUGGCGGACGGGUGAGGAAUACAUCGGAAUCUACUUUUUCGUGGGGGAUAACGUAGGGAAACUUACGCUAAUACCGCAUACGACCUACGGGUGAAAGCAGGGGAUCUUCGGACCUUGCGCGAUUGAAUGAGCCGAUGUCGGAUUAGCUAGUUGGCGGGGUAAAGGCCCACCAAGGCGACGAUCCGUAGCUGGUCUGAGAGGAGGAUCAGCCACAGUGGAGCUGAGACACGGUCCAGACUCUUACGGGAGGCAGAAGUGGGGAAUAUUGGACAAUGGGCGCAAGCCUGAUCCAGCCAUACCGCGUGGGUGAAGAAGGCCCUCGGGUGGUAAAGCCCUUUUGUUGGGAAAGAAAAGCAGCAGGUUAAGACCCCGCUGUUCGGACGGUACCCAAAGAAUAAGCACCGGCAAACUUCGG